rnacentral:lncRNA from 10 species
CAGGAAACCAACCUUCUCCUUGGGCCAGCAGUCCACACUGUAGCCUUGAGAGUCCCGGAGCUCCCCCAAAAUCAAACCUCUCACAGGUGGUGAAAGGACCUCUGUAAUGGCCUUCCAGAAGUAGGCCCGGCAGGAGGCUGCACUGUCCAGGAGACGCUGAGGACAAGUUCCCUCUGGGAACCAGCCUCCCAGGGUCCGCGAUGAAGAAACCUUUCUGAGACCAUGGAGAUUUAAAGUAUACCCCGACCCCACCCUGAGAAAAAACUGGAGCAGCAAAGGUUUUUUUGUUUUAUUUUAUUGGGCGCCAUCAGCCAGAGCUGUUUUAAUCCCCUAGAACCGACUUUAGAGGACAGAGCUUAGUCACAACCAGCUGUAAACAAAAUACAAAGUAACAUUCUCCAGAGGGUCCAGCUGCUGCCUCGUUUUCUCUCAUCCUUAGGCUGCUUCAUAUUCAUUAAGCAAGCAACUUUAGUCAAGACCCUUUGCGAAGCAGCUUUUGAAAAGGGUUAAAAGGUGGAGUGCAGGGACUGGAUGGAAGAACUUAUAACACGAACAAAACAGGCUAAAAGCAGUGCAGAGUUUAUGAGGAAAGGGAUCAUCAGGAGUGAAGAUGACACAAGUACCACACACCACCAUCCAAAGCAGCUUCUUCACCACCACCCCCGCCCCAAAAAGAGAACGGUUUCAUAAAGAGAAAGGUGAAGUCAGAGUUUGGGGGGGAAAAAAAAGAGUGGGUUUUAAAACCCAACACGAGGGCCAGGUGCGGUGGCCCACGCCUGUAAUCCCAGCACUUUGGGAGGCCGAGGCGGGCGGAUCACCUGAGGUCAGGAGUUCAAGACCAGCCUAGCCAACAUGGUGAACGCCAUCUCCACUAAAAAUACAAAAAUUAGCCCAAUGUGGUGGCAGGCCCCUGUAAUCCCAGCUACUCAGGAGGCUGAGGCAGGAGAAUCGCUUGAACCCGGGAGGCAGAGGUUGCAGUGAGGCAAGACAAGAGUGGCCUGGACGACAAGAGUGAAACUAAAAAAAAAAAAAACCCAACAUGAUUCAGGAAUCUGACUGCAGAAAACUGGUCAAUAAUUUAUCCUAGGGUAGAAAAAGCUAAGGAACUAAAAAAAGAAAAUAUAACAUUUACAGAUGUGUUGGUCACUAAUCUUGUCCACUUCAUUGUGGAUUCUGAUGCACCUCUGAGCCUGUGUAAAGGCCACGGGAUCAGUGAUGAAGAAAAUCAAUUUCGUCUCAGCUGCCACGUGCCCUUCAGAGGUGGCCAGCAUUAGAAGGUAACGCAUAUGGUAUAGAAAUCCUCUCAUCUCCUUCAGUUAGAUCUCUUGUCUCAACAUGUCUGGGGAUAAAACUUUCUUCCAAAAUACCAAAGUAUAACAAGGAUCAACUCAUUGUAAGUAAUAAUCUCUCCAGAUUGAAGGAGACUGGGAACAUAAAUCUCAGGAUCACAGUUCAAGCCCAGUGUGCGGACAUCAAAACUACUAACCACCUCUGCAUGCAGCCCAAAACCUAAUUACUUGAUUUGACCUCUGAAACCCAACUAGGUCUAGUUAGCUAUGUAACACUUUACAAGCUCAUCCUGAAUGAACCGCAUUAAAUAAUCUCCCUGCCUUUUUUUGAGACAGUUCUUGCAGUGUCACCCAGAGUGGAGUACAGUGGCACUAUCCAUAGCUCACUGCAGCCUGGAACUCCUCAGCCUCCCAAGUAGCUGUGACUACACGUGUGUGCCACCAGGCCUCUCUAUUUUUUUAAUUUAUUAUAGAGACGAACUCUUUGUUGCCCAGACCGGUCUGAAAUGCCUGCGCUCAGAAGCAAUCCUCUCGGCCGGGCACGGUGGCUCAAGGACAAAUAUGUAACUUAAACAUCUUAAUAUAACUUAUACAUCUAAUAAAUAACUCUGGCUCCUGGUCCAGAAAUGAGUUACAGUUCUGCUAAGGGUGCAAACUAAAAAUCCAGCAUUCUCCAGGGAUGUUCAAUGGGCAUCAGGCAGAAGGCUUCCUAGGCCUCCAAUCCUACAGCCAAUGCAACCUCUUAGCCUUCCUUAAUGUCUUUGAAAAUCCCCUACACUAUCAAUAACCUUUAUUCUCCAUAUCCACAAGAAUUGCUCCCAGGACACAAAAUAGUAUUGCCAGAGACUGGAGGUGGCCAAAAUUGAUGUGGUACAGUAGCCAAAUCACUUCUAGGUAUCGCUAAUUACAAAUAUUCACUGCCUUCACUACUAGAAGUAUGUGCUGCACUCACACCUAUAUCCAAAAUCUUUGGAUCAGCUGUGUGCUGCUCUACUAGGCCAUCCCAGUGUCCCCAGAAUGUUCUAACUCAUUUAUAUGAGAUGGCUAACAUUUCAUGAGAAGUGACUACAUACACGUGUCACAUGUCCUCAUUUGACUCUCCCAACAGCCGUAUAGCAUAACGAUUAUAAACAAAGCCCUAGAUGGUUCCAAUGUCUGGUUCAGUUCCUUGAGCCACCAACUUUGUAGCCAUUUGAUCUUAAGAAUGGCCAGGCAUGGUGGCUCACACCCGUAAUCCCAGCACUCUGAGAGGCCGAGUGGGAGGAUCAUUUGAGGUCAGGAGUUCGAGACCAGCCUGGCCAAUAUGGUAAAACCCCAUCUCUACUAAAAAUAGAAAAAUUAGCUGGGUGUAGUGGUGCAUCCCUGUAGUCCCAGCUACUCAGGAGGCUGAGGCAGAAUUGCUUGAACCCAGGAGGUUGCAGUGAGCCAAGAUCGCACCACUGCACUCCUCCCUGGGUGACACGAGACUCCAUCAAAAAAAAAAAAAAGAAUAGUCACUUAACCAACAGCCUCAACUCCCAUAUUUCCAAAAUAGGUUUAGAAAUAGCUAAUGUUGGCCAGGCGUAGUGGCUCACGCCUGUAAUCCAAGCACUUUGGGAGGCCAAGGCGGGCAGAUCACGAGGUCAGGAGAUCGAGACCAUCCUGGCUAACACGGUGAAACCCCAUCUCUACCAAAAAUACAAAAAUUAGCCAGGCGAGGUGGUGGCAGGCACCUGUAGUCCCAGCUACUCGGGAGGCUGAGGCAGAAGAAUGGCGUAAACCCGGGAGGCGGAGCUUGUAGUGAGCCAAGAUCGCACCACUGCACUCCAGCCUGGGCGACAGAGCAAGACUCCGACUCAAAAAAAAAAAGAAAUAGCUAAUGUUGGCAGGGCAUGGUGGCUCACACCUGCAAUCCCAGCACUUUGGGAGGCCGAGGCAAGUGGAUCACCUGAGGUCAGGAGUUCAAGACCAGCCUGGCCAACAUGGUGAAAUCCUGUCUCUACUAAAAAUACAAAAAUUAGCUGGGCGUGAUAGCGGGCGCCUGUAAUCCCAUCUACUAGGGAGGCUGAGGCAGGAGAAUCACUUGAACCCAGGAGGCAGAGGUUGCAGUGAGCUGAAAUUGCGCCACUGUACUCCUGCCUGGGUGACAAGAGCAAGACUCCAUCUUAAAAAAAAAAAAAAAAGAAAUAGCUAACACGUGAAUUGCUAUGAAGAUUAAUAUAAUUGUGUUGGCUACACUAAUAUAAAUUUAGUUUGUUGUAUUAAUAUAUUUAAUUUACUGUAGUUAGCUAUUAUCCUCAUUUUAUAGGUAACAAAAUAGAGGCAGCGUUCCUAAUAUGUCCAAGAUCACACAGCCAAGAAGAGGGAGAGCCAGGAUUCAAAUUCAGGAAACCUCCUGUAGUCCCAGCUACUUGGGAGCCUGAGGUAGGAAGAUCACUUGAGCCACGUGUUCAAGUGUAGCCUAGGCAAC